rnacentral:miRNA from 1 species
UGACUAGAUCCACACUCAU